GUGGAGCAUGUGGCUUAAUUUGACUCAACGCGGGGAAUCUUACUAGGUCAGGACCAUCGAUGCGCGAGUUCGCGUCGUACGUAUGAAUGUCGUAGUGUCGCUACUACACAAUUGUUGGAUGAGUGGUGCAUGGCCGUUCUUAGUUCGUGAUGCAAUUUGUCUACUUAAUUGUUGGUACCGUUGUUUCAUCGCAAUGGUACCGCAACGAACGAGACCGUGUUGCGACAUUAUCGUACGUAUACAGAGCAACCGCAAACUUGUUAGGAAGGACACGGCAAUAACAGGUCUGUGAUGCCCUCAGAUGUUCUAGGCCGCACACGUGCUACAAUCUGAUUGUCGCCACGUAUGCAUGUAAGAUUCACCGCUGCGAGUCGAACUAAUCUACGACGGUUGGGAUCACCGUUUGUAAUUAUUCGGUAUCACAACUAGGAAUGCCUCGUACGGUGCAGUUCAACAGAUUCCCUGGAAUCCGUCCCUGCCCUUUGUACACACCGCCCGUCGCUCUUACCGAUGGUGGUGGGUUUGAGUUGCGAGGCGUCUUGUCACACCCGUGGCGAGGUAAAUCGCUACGAGAACCCACUGCUAAAGGAAAGAGAAGUCGUAACAAGGCAUCG
rnacentral:rRNA from 1 species